rnacentral:rRNA from 1 species
GACGAACGCUGGCGGCGUGCCUAAUACAUGCCAGUAGAACGCUGAAGGAGGAGCUUGCUUCUCUGGAUGAGUUGCGAACGGGUGAGUAACGCGUAGGUAACCUGCCUGGUAGCGGGGGAUAACUAUUGGAAACGAUAGCUAAUACCGCAUAAUAGUAGAUGUUGCAUGACAUUUGCUUAAAAGGUGCAAUUGCAUCACUACCAGAUGGACCUGCGUUGUAUUAGCUAGUUGGUGGGGUAACGGCUCACCAAGGCGACGAUACAUAGCCGACCUGAGAGGGUGAUCGGCCACACUGGGACUGAGACACGGCCCAGACUCCUACGGGAGGCAGCAGUAGGGAAUCUUCGGCAAUGGACGGAAGUCUGACCGAGCAACGCCGCGUGAGUGAAGAAGGUUGUCGGAUCGUAAAGCUCUGUUGUAAGAGAAGAACGAGUGUGAGAGUGGAAAGUUCACACUGUGACGGUAUCUUACCAGAAAGGGACGGCUAACUACGUG